AGGACGAACGCUGGCGGCGCGCUUAACACAUGCAAGUCGAGCGAGAACCAGUCCUUCGGGACUGGGGACAGCGGCGAACGGGUGAGUAACACGUGGGUAAUCUGCCCUCGAUUCUGGGAUAGGCCCGGGGAAACCCGGAUUAAUACCGGAUAGCCUCUCGAGCUUUCGAGCUCGUGAGAAAGGUAGCUUCGGCCUCCGAUCGAGGAUGACG
rnacentral:rRNA from 1 species